AAGGCGAGUUGUUUUGUAAACAGCAGACGCUAAUGGCCGUUCGAGUUCGACGAAGAAUUGAAGUCCAUAAGACCAUAACUAAGUAAAUAUAGUAAACAUUCUCUUAACAUAAAUCCGGUAAUUAAUAGUCUAAAAGCUUUGGGUGAUUCAUCAUUCAACACCAUUUCAAAACAGGGUGUGGAAGUCAACAGCUCUAAAGUCGAAAGGAAUAAAAAUAUUCCUCUGGUUCCAAGUUUAGAAAGAACAGCAAAUGACAAAAAAUGUGUUGUUUUUAUCUCAGCAAAAAAGAAAUGCACUUUACUCUUCGAGCCAAGUAGGCCUACCUAAUCCUUUACUUUGAGGGCACUUUGUUGUGAAGAGCGUUAUCUGAAUGGCGUACAGAUAUCAUAUAGAAUCAGAAGAUGAUCGCGGCGAAGAGAUCCACAACCCGAGACGGAUGCUCUUAAACGAAAGAGGCCCGAACCAGUUCUAUAUGGUUUUCAAAGGUUUAUUUUGGACGGAGAAAGAUACCGUAUUGAAGCUGCUUAGUCCUGAUAUGCUAGCUUCAUCCAGAUAAACUAUGAGUAUCUUCAUGCGUCACUUUAUUACAUGAACACGGACAUCACAGUAGUCACCGGUAACUUUAAAUCUACAUAUCCGCGUUGACAAAAAUCAUCUGAUAUGUUUUCGCUUUUAGAAUUAGA
rnacentral:lncRNA from 1 species